CCUACGGGAGGCAGCAGUGAGGAAUAUUGGUCAAUGGGCGUAAGCCUGAACCAGCCAAGUCGCGUGCAGGAUGACUGCUCUAUGGGUUGUAAACUUCUUUUGUACCGGGGUAAAACGCGCUACGUGUAGCGUUUUUAAUGUACGGUACGAAUAAGGAUCGGCUAACUCCGUGCCAGCAGCCCCGGUUAUACGGAGGAUCCGAGCGUUAUGCGGAUUUAUUGGGUUUAAAGGGUGCGUAGUUGGUGUUAUAAGUUAGGGGUGAAAGACAGAUGAUCAACCUUCGGGCUGCCGCUAAUACUGUCGGACUAGAGAACGCGUGAAGCAGGCGGAAUGUGUGGUGUAGCGGUGAAAUGCAUAGAUAUCACACAGAACACCGAUUGCGAAGGCAGCUUACUAGGCCGGAACUGACACUGAUGCACGAAAGUGUGGGGAUCGAACAGGAUUAGAUACCCGGGUAGUC
rnacentral:rRNA from 1 species